rnacentral:lncRNA from 1 species
CGUGAAUUGGUCCUGGAAACAUGGCUGCCUCCAUGUUCAACCAUUCUGACCUUUAGAAAACACCGGACAGACCUGAGCCCUAGGACCAUGCCUCAGGACUACCUGGCCUGAUGUCUCCUUGCUGUCCCCAGUCCACCUGGUCGUGCUGCUGCUCCAGUUUCAACUGUUCUGCCUAUGGAACCCUGACCUGUUCACCGGACGUGCCUACCUGUCCCAGACCUGCUGUUUUGAACUCUCUGGAGACAGCAGGAGCGGUAGAGAUACUCUGAAUGAUCGGCUAUGAAAAGCCAACUGAUAUUUACUCCUGAGGUGCUGGCCUGUUGCACCCUCUACAACCACUGUGAUUAUUAUUAUUUGACCCUGCUGGUCAUCUAUGAACAUUUGAAUAUCUUGGCCAUGUUCUGUUAUGAUCUCCACCCGGCACAGCCAGAAGAGGACUGGCCAACCCUCAUAGCCUGGUUCCUCUCUAGGUUUCUUCCUAGGUUCUGGCCUUUCUAGGGAGUUUUUCCUAGCAAACGUGCUUCUACACCUGCAUUACUUGCUGUUUGGGGUUUUAGGCUGGGUUUCUGUACAGCACUUUGUGACAUCAGCUGAUGUAAGAAGGGCUUUAUAAAUACAUUUGAUUGAUUGGUUGUCCUGUUCACCACAGUCUGAGGUCCUGAGCGCUCUGGAUCAGGUUUUCAUCAAGGAUCUCUCUGUACUUUGCUCCAUUCAUCUUUCCCUCUAUCCUGACUAGUCUCCCAGUCCCUGCUGAUGGUUAAACAUCCCCACAGCAUGAUGCUGCCACCAUCAUGCUUCACCGUAGGGAUGGUGCCAGUUUCCCUCCAGACGUAACGCUUUGCAUUCAGGCCAAAGAGUUCAAUCUUGGUUUCAUCAUACCAGAGAAUCUUGUUUCUCAUAGUCUGAGUCCUUUAUGUGCCUUUUAGCAAAUUUGAAAUGGGCUGUCGUGCUUUUUACUGAGGACUGUCUUCUGUCUGGCAACUCUACCAUAAAGGCCUGAUUGGUGGAGUGCUGCAGAGAUGGUUGUCUUUCUGGAAGAUUCUCCCAUCUCCACAGAGGAGCUCUGUCAGAGUGACCAUCUGUUUCUUGUUCACCUCCUUGACCAAGGCCCUUCUUCCCCGAUUGCUCAGUUUGGCCGGUUGGCCAGCUCUAGGAAGAGUCUUGGUGGUUACACACUUCUUCCAUUUAAGAAUGAUGGAGGCCACUGUGUUCUUGGGGACCUUCAGAGCUGCAGAAAUAAUUUUGGUACCCUUCCCCAGAUCUGUGCCUCAACACAAUCCUGUCUCAAGGCUCUACGGACAAUUCCUUUGACCUCAUAGCUUGGUUUUUGCUCUGACAUGCACUGUCAACUGUGGGACCUUAUAUAGACAGGUGUGUGCCUUUCCAAAUCAUGUCCAAUUAAUUGAAUUUACGACAGGUGGACUCCAAUCAAUGGAAACAGGAUGCACCUGAGGCCAAUUCCGAGUCUCGGGGCAAAGGGUCUGAAUACCUGUGUAAAUAAGGAUGGCUUCCUGGAUUCCAAGCAGCUGAUUGGUCUGCCCCAUUGCAGAUUAGAGCUCUGACCCCGCCCUCUCGUCAGCGGAUACAGCUGUCUGCAAUUACCGACUCCUUCUGCAGCUUAAAAAGCCAGUGUUCCUUUGCCAGUUGGAGAGAGAGCUUUUUUUUUUUUUGUAUUAUUUUUUAUAUUUUUAUAUAUAUAUUUUUUUUUAAAUUAUUUUUUUUGCUGUGUUUUUGUGUGUAUUUGCUGUGUUGGUCUGGUAAAGUAUUUUGUAGCCGGUCCUCCAGAGGUAUGUGUUUGCUAUAGUACCUAGUGUUUUUGGUUUAUUCAAAUUGUUCACUGAGUUUGGUGACUUAUUCGGUUUCAUUUGUUCCUGGGGGGGGAAGGGGAAGGCACCUUGGGAGUGUUUAGGCAAGAGGCCUGCGGGCAUACAUAUACCCGUAGUAUGUACUCUGUCUAUGCACACUAGGUAAGACUUGGGUGGACCACCCCUUGUAUUUUGGUUAGCGCGCCAGGUGGUGUUAAGAAUAGGUAGGUAGGAGAGGAGGCUCCUUAACUUUACUUUCAUUGCUUUGGUUCUGUCCAGCC